rnacentral:tRNA from 1 species
UACAUUAAGUUUUAUCUUGUUAGUUCUUUCUUUAAGAUGAAGAGUUCUCUUCUGGGUAAUGUAUUAG